rnacentral:tRNA from 2 species
GUCCCCGUAGCUCAGCGGAUAGAGCGAUCGCCUCCUAAGCGAUAGGUCGCAGGUUCAAGUCCUGCCGGGGACGCCA